rnacentral:rRNA from 1 species
GUAGGGAAUUUUGCGCAAUGGGCGAAAGCCUGACGCAGCAACACCGCGUGAGUGAUGAAACCCCUUGGGGUGUAAAACUCUGUCAGCAGGGACGAAUCAAUGACGGUACCUGCAGAGGAAGCAUCGGCUAACUACGUGCCAGCAGCCGCGGUAAGACGUAGGAUGCAAGCGUUGUCCGGAAUUAUUGGGCGUAAAGAGUUCGUAGGCGGUAUAUUAAGUCUGAUGUUAAAGCCCGGAGCUCAACUCCGGUUCGGCAUUGGAUACUGAUAAACUAGAGUGCAGGAGAGGCAAGGGGAAUUCCCAGUGUAGCGGUGAAAUGCGUAGAUAUUGGGAGGAACACCGGUGGCGAAAGCGCCUUGCUGGAAUGUAACUGACGCUGAGGAACGAAAGCCAGGGGAGCAAAUGGGAUUAGAUACCCGAGUAGUCC